rnacentral:tRNA from 1 species
GCCGAAGUGGCGGAAUUGGCAGACGCGCCAGGUUCAGGACCUGGUGGCCGUUAAGGCUGUGCAGGUUCAAGUCCUGUCUUCGGCA